rnacentral:tRNA from 1 species
AGGAGAGUUAGUCUUUAAUAGACGUAUGGUUGUCAACCAUGAGAGGUUAUUAUGUAACACUUUCCU